GUGGAUUAGAUACCCUGGUAGUCCACGCUGUAAACGAUGUCAACUAGAUGUCGGGGGUGUUGAUCCCCUCUGUGUCGCAGCUAACGCAUUAAGUUGACCGCCUGGGGAGUACGGUCGCAAGAUUAAAACUCAAAGGAAUUGACGGGGGCCCGCACAAGCGGUGGAGUAUGUGGUUUAAUUCGAUGCAACGCGAAGAACCUUACCUGGUCUUGACAUCCCGGGAAUCCUUAGGAAACUAGGGAGUGCCUUCAUUAGAAGGAGCCUGGAGACAGGUGCUGCACGGCCGUCGACAGCU
rnacentral:rRNA from 1 species